UUCCUACUUAGCUCAGUUGGUAGAGCACCUGACUGUUAAUCAGGUUGUCGCCGGUUCGAGCCCGGCAGUCGGAGU
rnacentral:tRNA from 1 species